GCUUUACACAUGCAAGUCGAGCGGCAGCGCGGGGGCAACCCUGGCGGCGAGCGGCGAACGGGUGAGUAAUACAUCGGAACGUGUCCUUGAGUGGGGGAUAGCUCGGCGAAAGCCGGAUUAAUACCGCAUAAGCUCUGAGGAGGAAAGCGGGGGAUUCGCAAGGACCUCGCGCUGUUGGAGCGGCCGAUGUCGGAUUAGCUAGUUGGUGGGGUAAAGGCCCACCAAGGCGACGAUCCGUAGCUGGUCUGAGAGGAUGAUCAGCCACACUGGAACUGAGACACGGUCCAGACUCCUACGGGAGGCAGCAGUGGGGAAUUUUGGACAAUGGGGGCAACCCUGAUCCAGCCAUUCCGCGUGAGUGAAGAAGGCCUUCGGGUUGUAAAGCUCUUUCGGACGGAACGAAAUGGUUACGGCUAACACCUGUGACUGAUGACGGUACCGUAAGAAGAAGCACCGGCUAACUACGUGCCAGCAGCCGCGGUAAUACGUAGGGUGCGAGCGUUAAUCGGAAUUACUGGGCGUAAAGCGUGCGCAGGCGGCGGCACAAGUCAGGUGUGAAAUCCCCGGGCUUAACCUGGGAAUUGCGCUUGAAACUAGGUCGCUAGAGUGUGGCAGAGGGGGGUGGAAUUCCACGUGUAGCAGUGAAAUGCG
rnacentral:rRNA from 1 species